UGCAAGUCGAACGGUAACAGGAAGCAGCUUGCUGCUUCGCUGACGAGUGGCGGACGGGUGAGUAAUGUCUGGGAAACUGCCUGAUGGAGGGGGAUAACUACUGGAAACGGUAGCUAAUACCGCAUAACGUCGCAAGACCAAAGAGGGGGACCUUCGGGCCUCUUGCCAUCGGAUGUGCCCAGAUGGGAUUAGCUAGUAGGUGGGGUAACGGCUCACCUAGGCGACGAUCCCUAGCUGGUCUGAGAGGAUGACCAGCCACACUGGAACUGAGACACGGUCCAGACUCCUACGGGAGGCAGCAGUGGGGAAUAUUGCACAAUGGGCGCAAGCCUGAUGCAGCCAUGCCGCGUGUAUGAAGAAGGCCUUCGGGUUGUAAAGUACUUUCAGCGGGGAGGAAGGGAGUAAAGUUAAUACCUUUGCUCAUUGACGUUACCCGCAGAAGAAGCACCGGCUAACUCCGUGCCAGCAGCCGCGGUAAUACGGAGGGUGCAAGCGUUAAUCGGAAUUACUGGGCGUAAAGCGCACGCAGGCGGUUUGUUAAGUCAGAUGUGAAAUCCCCGGGCUCAACCUGGGAACUGCAUCUGAUACUGGCAAGCUUGAGUCUCGUAGAGGGGGGUAGAAUUCCAGGUGUAGCGGUGAAAUGCGUAGAGAUCUGGAGGAAUACCGGUGGCGAAGGCGGCCCCCUGGACGAAGACUGACGCUCAGGUGCGAAAGCGUGGGGAGCAAACAGGAUUAGA
rnacentral:rRNA from 1 species